AUGUUUUUAAAACCCACAUUUGGUGGAGGAACCAGACUGGAUGUUGGAAGUGAAGCCCGUCCCACCUUGAUGGUUCUGCCCCCUUCCAAUGAGGAGCUGCAGCAGGGGAAGGCCACGCUCGUGUGCCUGGCCAACAAGGGCUUCCCCUCAGACUGGAGUCUGGCCUGGAAGGUGGACGGCAUCAGCGGCGGCAGCUGGGAGGAGAGCAGGGGCCCUGCGGUGAUGGAGCAGGACGCUCGUUACAGCUGGAGCAGCACCCUGAGGCUCUCUGCAGGCCAGUGGACGAAGGUGGGCUCUGUGACCUGUGAGGCCACCCAGGGCUCCCAGACGCUGGUCUCAGAGACACUGAGGAGGGACCAGUGUUCCCAGGACUGA